GACGAACGCUGGCGGCGUGCUUAACACAUGCAAGUCGAACGGAAAGGCCCUGCUUUCGCGGGGUGCUCGCGUGGCGAACGGGUGAGUAACACGUGAGUAACCUGCCCUUGACUUUGGGAUAACUUCAGGAAACUGGGGACAAUACCGGAUAGGAGCUCCUGCUGCAUGGUGGGGGUUGGAAAGUUUCGGCGGAUGGGGAUGGACUCGCGGCUUAUCAGCUUGUUGGUGGGGUAGUGGCUUACCAAGGCUUUGACGGGUAGUCGGCCUGAGAGGGUGGCCGGCCACAUUGGGACUGAGAGACGGCCCAGACUCCUACGGGAGGCAGCAGUGGAGAAUAUGGCACAAUGGGCGGGAGCCUGAUGCAGCAACGCCGCGUGCGGGAUGACGGCCUUCGUGUUGUAAACCGCUUUCGCCUGUGACGAAGCGUGAGUGACGGUAAUGGGUAAAGAAGCACCGGCUAACUACGUG
rnacentral:rRNA from 1 species